GACGAACGCUGGCGGCGUGCUUAACACAUGCAAGUCGAACGAUGAAGCCUAGCUUGCUAGGUGGAUUAGUGGCGAACGGGUGAGUAAUACGUGAGUAACCUACCUUUAACUCUGGGAUAAGCCUGGGAAACUGGGUCUAAUACCGGAUACGACCAAUCUCCGCAUGGGGUGUUGGUGGAAAGCGUUAUGUAGUGGUUAUAGAUGGGCUCACGGCCUAUCAGCUUGUUGGUGAGGUAACGGCUCACCAAGGCGACGACGGGUAGCCGGCCUGAGAGGGUGACCGGCCACACUGGGACUGAGACACGGCCCAGACUCCUACGGGAGGCAGCAGUGGGGAAUAUUGCACAAUGGGCGCAAGCCUGAUGCAGCGACGCCGCGUGAGGGAUGACGGCCUUCGGGUUGUAAACCUCUGUUAGCAGGGAAGAAGAGAGAUUGACGGUACCUGCAGAGAAAGCGCCGGCUAACUACGUGCCAGCAGCCGCGGUAAUACGUANGGCGCGAGCGUUUGUCCGAAUUAUUGGGCGUAAAGAGCUUGUAGGCGGUUUGUCGCGUCUGCUGUGAAAGGCCGGAGCCUUCUCCGUGUAUUGCAGUGGGUACGGGCAGACUAGAGUGCAGUAGGGGAGACUGGAAUUCCUGGUGUAGCGGUGGAAUGCGCAGAUAUCAGGAGGAACACCGAUGGCGAAGGCAGGUCUCUGGGCUGUAACUGACGCUGAGAAGCGAAAGCAUGGGGAGCGAACAGGAUUAGAUACCCUGGUAGUCCAUGCCGUAAACGUUGGGCACUAGGUGUGGGGAACAUUCCACGUUUUCCGCGCCGUAGCUAACGCAUUAAGUGCCCCGCCUGGGGAGUACGGCCGCAAGGCUAAAACUCAAAGAAAUUGACGGGGGCCCGCACAAGCGGCGGAGCAUGCGGAUUAAUUCGAUGCAACGCGAAGAACCUUACCAAGGCUUGACAUAUACUGGACCGCAUCAGAGAUGGUGUUUCCCUUCGGGGCUGGUAUACAGGUGGUGCAUGGUUGUCGUCAGCUCGUGUCGUGAGAUGUUGGGUUAAGUCCCGCAACGAGCGCAACCCUCGUUCUAUGUUGCCAGCACGUUAUGGUGGGGACUCAUAGGAGACUGCCGGGGUCAACUCGGAGGAAGGUGGGGAUGACGUCAAAUCAUCAUGCCCCUUAUGUCUUGGGCUUCACGCAUGCUACAAUGGCCGGUACAGAGGGUUGCGAUACUGUGAGGUGGAGCUAAUCCCUAAAAGCCGGUCUCAGUUCGGAUUGGGGUCUGCAACUCGACCCCAUGAAGUCGGAGUCGCUAGUAAUCGCAGAUCAGCAACGCUGCGGUGAAUACGUUCCCGGGCCU
rnacentral:rRNA from 1 species